rnacentral:rRNA from 1 species
AGUCGAGCGGACGAAAGGAAGCUUGCUCCCGGUAUGUUAGCGGCGGACGGGUGAGUAGCACGUGGGUAACCUGGCUGUAGGACUGGGAUAACUCCGGGAAACCGGAGCUAAUACCGGAUAGUUCCUUGAACCGCAGGGUUCUCGGAUGAACUACGGUUUCCGCUGUCACUUACGUAUGGACCCCCGGCGCAUUAGCUAAUUGGUGGGGUAAUGGCUCACCCAGGCGACGAUGCAUAGCCGACCUGAGAGGGUGAUCGGCCACACUGGGACUGAGACACGGCCCAAACUCCUACGGGAGGCAGCAGUAGGGAAUCUUCCGCAAUGGACCAAAGUCUGACCGAGCAACACCACGGGAGUGAUAAAGGUUUUCGGAUCGUAAAGCUCUGUUGUUAGGGAAGAACAAGUGCUAGAGUAACUGCUCGCACCUUGACGGUACCUAACCAUAAAGCCACGGCUAACUACGUGCCAACACCCGCGGUAAUACCUAUGUGGCAAGCUUUGGCCGGAAUUAUUGGGCGUAAAGGGCUCGCAAGCGGUUUCUUAAAUCUGAUGUGAAAGCCCCCGGCUCAACCGGGGAGGGUCAUUGGAAACUGGGAAACUAGAGUGCAGAAAAUGACAGUGGAAUUCCACGUGGAGCGGUGAUAUGCGUAAACAUGUGUAGGAACACCAGUGGCGAAGGCUACUCUCUGGUCUGUAACUGACGCUGAUGAGCGAAAGCGUGGGGAGCGAACAGGAUUAGAUACCCUGGUAGUACACGCCGUAAACGAUGAGUGCUAAGUGUUAGGGUGUUUCCGCUCUUUAGUGCUGCAGCUAAGGCAUUAAUCACUCGGCUUGGGGAGUACGGUCGCAAGACUGAAACUCAAAGGCAAUUGACGGGGGCCCGACCCAAGUCGGUGUGAGUCAUGUGGCUUUAAUUGGAAGCAACGCGAAGCACUCCUUAUCCAGCUCUUGACAUCAUAGGACGAUCCCUAGAGAUAGGGCUUUCCUUUCGGGGAUAGAGUGCCAGGUGGUGCAUGGUUGUGUUCAGUUGGUUUCGUGAGAUGUUGGGUUAAUUCCCGCAACGAGCCCAACCCUUGAUUUUAGUUGCCACCAUUUAAGUGGGCCAUUUAAGGUGGCUGCCGGUGGCCAACCGGAGGAAGGUGGGGAAGACGUCAAAUUCUCCUGCCCCUUAUGACCUGGGGUACCCCCGUGGUACAAAGGACAGAACAAAGGGGUGCACGACCGCAAGGGUUAACCAAUUCCAUAAAUCUGUUUUCAGUUCGGAUUGCCGUUUGCAAAUUGGAUGCGUGAAGCUGGAAUCGGUAGUAAUCGCGGAUCAGCAUGCCGCGGUGAAUACGUUUCCGGGCCUUUACCCCCCCCCCGUCACACCCAGAGAAUUUGCAACACCCGAAGUCGGUGAGGUAACCCUUAUGAGC